rnacentral:piRNA from 1 species
UCAUUAGUAACACUGAACGGCAGGCAG